GGCAGAUGUCGUUAUUCACAGCAGGGUUGGGGUACUUGGGGUACCGCGCUAGGAAUUUGUGGCAUAGCAACCCCAAGCUCUUCUCCUUCCGACUCGGCUGGGAUUUCUCAAAUUCGUCUCCUGAUAAGUGUUCCUGCAGAGGGAAAGGGCAAAUUUUUGGUGAAUCUUUUGGAGAGGAAAAUAUGUUCAAAGAGAUACUGGACCACAAAAGAGAUCACAGGAUUUGCUUCAAAUCAACGGAAACGGCGAGAUCAUGAUGGCAACCUCAUGUCCCUGUCUCACUGCGAAAGAGGACCAGUCAUUCCAACUUCAGAGACUUGUGGGGUUUACAUGAGCUAAUGCAGAAUGUGUCUGGCAUGAGUGAUUGACAUGUGGUAGCUGUUUAUUGAUGCUAGAGUUGAGCUAAGGGCAGGUAUACGACACCACCACAUGGCAAACCAGAGUGAGAAGCAUCAGAGAACAUUGCAGCUCAGGCUACGGCAACCUGGAAGAUACAAAGAACAGAUAUGAGAAUGGCUGUCGGGAAAAGCUGAGGACAUUGGAGUGGGCAAAGAUUAGGUCACUGGGCCAGGAUGGUUUCCAGAGCAAAGAAGAGACUCCAGGUGACUCUAAGUAGCCCCCAAACAGUGCUGCUGGUAUGUGAAACAGAAAGAAGGCUUCCCUGUGCAGACCUGGCCUUGGCACGAAGAGCUCACAGGACAGAACAUCCCACCUUGUGUAAAACAUGGCUUGGUUCUCUCAGCUUUGCCAAACAGGAGCGGCAUUCUACUAUCAACGUCGGCUUUGUACCUGGCACAAGUCUGUGGGGACAUACUAGAAAGGCUCUCAGGUGCUUAGGACUCUUUGGUCAACACUCAUAUGUUGAAACCCACGUGUUGGUUCUCAAACCAUAAAGACUGUGGCUCAUUACAAGGAAGUUUAAAAGUACUGAGCGAAAGGAAACCACACAAACACCAAAGAACAAAGCGAAACAAGACAAAAUUCUCCUGCCUGAAGUUUUCUCUGACUGUGUGUAUACAGAGUAUAUUUCUAAAAACAUAAGGAAUUAAAAGAAGAGGCUCCUGGAAAAGCCGUUAAAAUGUUCUCCAAAUAGCCAACUUCUAUAACUGCAGCCACAUUUGCAGCUCAAAGAUGCCCAAGCCCAUCAUGGUAGAAGAUGGCUGCAGGAGCUGAAGGCAGCUGGUCUUACUGCAUCUGCAGUUAGGAGGCAGAGAGAUGACUGGUACUCAGCUCACUUUCUUCUUUGUAUUCAGUCUUGGAACUCCAGCCUGUGGGCCGGUGUUGCCUGUAUUCUGGAUGAGUCCUCCCACCCUAGUUAAAGCUCUUUGGAAACACCCA
rnacentral:lncRNA from 1 species